CUGCUGCCUCCCGUAGGAGUCUGGGCCGUGUCUCAGUCCCAAUGUGGCCGUUCACCCUCUCAGGCCGGCUACUGAUCGUCGCCUUGGUGGGCUUUUACCUCACCAACUAGCUAAUCAGACGCGGAACCAUCGUAUACCACCGGAGUUUUUCACACUGCUUCAUGCGAAGCUGUGCGCUUAUGCGGUAUUAGCACCUAUCUCUAAGUGUUAUCCCCCAGUAUACGGCAGGUUUUCCACGCGUUACUCACCCGUCCG
rnacentral:rRNA from 1 species